GCAGUGUCUUCUUCCUGGUCACCCGCGGAGUCUCUCUGUUCCUGUCGUUUCCUCUAACUUCCCUUUCCCUGACGUGACACUUCGAGGGUUAUUGGUUCCUCUCCCACGUCCUCAGGGUCACCCUCUGAGGAAGCUGGGGGAACAUGUCAUGCUCUCCCGAGAACUCACCACUCCGACGGGAGCGCCGAGGGUUUGCAGGCUCUGCAAGCUGCUGGUAAGGCAGAAAGAAGGCAGCCAGUCCUUUGUGCAGACACCUCUGAUCCCUACUCGUGGCUUUCCUGGAGCACCACCUCGUUGGGCUUAAGCAGGAAGGAAGUAUCCGUCUCCUCCCUAACAAGGCCAACAGCUCUAGACUUGAGUGAAGAGGCGAGGCCUGGAGCAUAGUGGUAUGAGGGGAUACCAGCCUCAUAAAAUAAACUUAAGAGAUUUCCGUCUUCCUCAGUCACUGGAACAGUUUGGAUGAGCAGUAAACAGACUUCCUUCAGGAUCUGACAGGCUGAGUCUUUAAAACUGUCUGAUCGGACCAUUCCAGACGCACCAGAGCCGAGGCUCCCACUUCUGAUGAUGGCCACCUUGCUCCUUCUACUGCACGUCCCAGCUCAGCCUUUUCGAGCUCUCCUGUCCAAAAUGGAAGCAUAUCCUAGUGUCCAAGGACACGCGAUGGCCACCAAGACGGCCACCGAGACUUCAGCCUCGUCUCGGCCCUGCUGCGAAGAGGCUCUGAGACCAGGGAAAAGCGCAUGGCCCAUCUGGGUGCAGGUUUCUUCUAUAAAGUGAGAGAGGUACUUUUUUUUUAAGUCUGAGGUCAUUUCUAGAUGAGGGAAGUGCUGUGAAUCUAUGACUCUUAUUGCAAUAGGUGACCUGAAGUGCUAAGUGCUUUGCUGAGAAAUUAAACAAACAGCCCCCCAGAACUGGGCACAGGAAGGCGUUGUGAAGGGGAGCGAUGGGAGGGGCAGGGAUAUGAGAAAGUAUUUACCAGGCUGGAGCCUGGUGGGGCAGCAACACGCUCUUUAAACAAAUGCUCAAACUAAUGGCGACUUUCUCUUCCCAGAAAAUUCUCCUUCUUUUAUGAACUUCCACAUCUCCGAAAUAAUUAAACAUGACAAUUUUCAAAACAAAGGAAGCUAUGCGUAAGGAUGAAACAUUUAAAAAAUACAGCAUGCCUUGAAUUUUAUUUUAGUCCUCCGAAAAUCUAACAGAGUAACUUUUUAUCUGUUAGAAAAAAAAACAACUAAAGAACAUGCAUAUUACAUAACCUAUUUUCUAGAAACCUUGCCUAUACCAGUGUUUUCACUCUAAAGUGUUAUAUAAUUUAGAAGCAUUUAACACCAAAAUUCAGUUACAAAACCACAUCUGAAAUAAUUGACACAACCCCUCUGCUAUUUCGCUAGGUGGCAGCAUGGAAUAAGAAAAAAUGAUAUUAUAAGGUAACAAAUAAUGAUAUUAUAAGGUAACAAAUAAAACCAUUAAAAGCCACAAAUGUCAGCCUUGCAGAUUCUAAAACAUUAGGAAGAACUUUAGUGCUUUUUCAGCUUAACUUUAAAGGACAAUACAUCUAUUAGAGGCAUCCUUUUUCUCUGCACAUUCACACAUUCUGUUUUUCGUAAAAAUUCUUGAGACAAAAGUAUAAUGGCUAAAAGGGUUGGAUUCUUUAAGACAUCUUUUCCUCAUUAACAUUUAACUAAAGGAAAUGAAAACUCACUUCUAAGCAAAGAGAACUUUCAGCAGAUACCAACAGCCAGGUAUAAUGAAGCCUUCUCAAAAUCAGAUCUUGCGUUUUCUUUGUAAUUAAUGAUCUAGAAAAUGAAAUCGAAAUUUUAUCUCUAGGGAAACCCACCAAUGCAACUGAGAUAUUUAAGGCCACAGGUAGCAAACUGGCAUGCUGCAAAUUCAGGGCAGGAUCAAGUUUUACUUGGCCUGGAGAGAGAAAAGGAGAGAGGCGGGUAAGGGUGGGGAGGGGAGGAGAGGGGAGAGAAGAGAGAGAGAGAGACUGAUUUAAGAAUCGCCCAUUUUCACAUUUGAGCUGUUUCAUACAAAAACCCAGAUUCCCGGCUCCUCCGGAGCGCUCAGAUGUGCUGACACUGAGCCUGGAUUUUCAUUCGCAGAAGAGGCUGGAAUCAAGUGGUGACCACUCCUUUUAACCAAGCAAGAGCCUUCCAGUUUUUCUGGUUCGCUUAUACUCUUCAUUACUAUUUCCUAGCUUUUCCAUUGUUGUGUAACAAAUUAUUACAAAUUUAGGAGCUUAAAAUAACACCCAUAGGUUAGCUCACAGGUCUGUGGGUCAGAAGUCUAGACAAGGAAUGACUGCAUUUUCUUCUGCCCAGUGUCUUACAAAGCUAAAGUCAAUGUGGCAGCCAGGCCGGGGCUUGGAGUUCCUCUUCUGAGCCCUGUGGUUGUUGCAGAAUUCAGUUCUUCGUCGUUGUAGCUCUGAGCUCCCAGUUUUCCUUACUGGUUCUGAGCCAGGAUACUCUCAAUUCCUGUUGUCUGCUAUGUUUUAUGUGUCCUCCAUCUUCAAAGCCAGCAGCGGAGAACGUAUGUACCAAGUCCCACUCAUGCCUCAGAUCUCUCUGCAGGAGGAGCCCAGGGCCCUUCAAGAACUUGCCUGAUUAGGUCAGGCCCACCCAGUUGCGCUGUGCGACAUAACCUAAUCGUGGAGCGAUGUCCCAUCAUAGUCACAGUCCCGGGGAUUACACAGGCAGGCCAGUCCAACAUGAGGUGGAGAACUUAGAAUCCUGUCUAUUGCA